AACCCCGUUUAUAAAAUAACGCUGGUCAGGGGAAGUAAUUGUUGCGGUCAAUGAUUUUGUUUGUUGUCUAUGAUUAUCGUUUGUGCAAAUGGUGGCGCUGUUUGGAAAAUUUGAAAACAACACGAUUGGCAAUUUAUUUGGAUUUCGGAGAUCCUGGUCCUGGUUGAAAUUUAGAGUAUUGCAGCUGUAGCCUGUAUACCAUACAUUCAACAUGAAAAGGACUGUCAGGAUGCUGUAUAAAAUGGUCUUAGCUAGAGCCUAGAAUGUUAAUUUCUUCAAAGUUGGGAAUAUGCUGCAAGGAACUGACGGGGAGCAUUUUUCAUAG